GAGAAAAGAGGACGAUGGAGCGAGGAGCACAGACCUGGUGCCGAUGCCAAUUCCCUUCCCUUCGCACCCAGCGUCCCGUGCCAGCCCUCGCCCAGCCACAAAAGGCUGCCUCCCCUCCCGGCAAACUAACCAAGCAUUUAAAUUUAAUAGCUGUCCGCAACCUCGCCGUUUCAAAGUGAUUAAGCAUUUGAUUAAAGCCCAUGUGUUGCUUUGCUGGCUGGGAGGCAAAUUCCUCCACAGGGCCCAUGAAAUCGGCUCCGGUGACCGGCACGGCACACGGCGGAUGCUCUUUGCCAUCCCCCCCUGCUCUCCCCGUGUCAGACGAGGUGCUGACAGGGAGCCUGGCCCCUCGGGUAACCCCAGCUGCCCCCUCCAUCCCGAUGCACCCGUGCGUGCAAACAGUGCUCCUCCCUCCGUCGGUGCUCCGGCAAAGCCAGAGCAGGAGGAGAGCCCGCGGGCUGGGGACGUGCCAUCGCCCAGGGGAGAAACCGAGGCACGGCGAGGGACGCUGAGGCCAGAGCGAGAUGGGGCUCCAGGGCUCGUGGCCGGCUGGAGCGAAAUCAGGAACGGAGGUUGUGUCUUCAUGCAGAAAACAGGAGCUCGCCAGAUAGGCAGCAUCCGGCUGGACCCGCAGGUGCCGUCAGGAAGGAUCCCAGUGAGGAGCGGACCAUUUCCAGAGCCCACCACGCAGCCGCACGUUCACUGGUUGGACUCGCUCCGUGGCCGCCCCAUCCCACCCCACGUCUCCCUGCAUCUGGCCCCACCGACUCCCUCCAAGGGCGGCUGGAGACGUAGGGUGGCCUCCUCCAUCCCCGCAGUGCCCAUUCCCUCCUCUUCCCCGCAGCUCCACAGGCAUUUCUCACCCACAACCCCAUAUCGUUCCUCAUCCCCUCCAACAUCCCCUUCCUUAUGCAUGCCCAUAACCAUUUCUUCUCCUCUCGCUCCUUGUACUUGUCCUGGUUUCAGGAA